UAAUUACUUUACAUGAUAGAGAAUUUGGUCAUGGUACGUUUUCUUGAGGACCAGUGCUUCAGAUGCUAUGAACAGGUGUUGACUUUGACUUGAUAGUCAGUUAUAUGACAUUUGAGAUCUGGAAACAUGAUGAUUUCCCAACACCUAUUUACUUGUUGGGUGUUGCAAUGAUGAAAUCACCCACAUGUAUAAGGGGAAAACUGUCAUGACUGAAUCCGAGCGCUAUGAGUCACUCCGCCAUUGCAAGUGGGUUGAUGAGGUUAUUCCUGAUGCUCCAUGGGUCAUCACACAGGAGUUCCUGGACAAACACAAGAUUGAUUUUGUGGCUCACGAUGCCCUCCCGUAAGAUCGAUCAGCAUAAGUAUAUCCACAUUUGAUAACAUUUUCUGCAAAUUUCUACUUGUGAAAAGGAUUUCUGCUUCAUGCUUAGCUUCAAUGGUGAAAUUCUUUGUCAAAUGAUCUACAUACUAGUUAGAGGUAAACCUAAGGAAAAGCAAGACUGCAGAAGAUGGAUCAAGAUAAAUGAAUCACCUCAUGACGUGGUGAUAUCCUUAAUUCCAUUAUGAUUGUCUAAUGUUUUUGGACCACAAUAUCUUUCCAAUGUGUGUAUUUUUUUUGUGUGUGUGCAAGUGGGAGAUAGAGAGAGAGAGAGAGAGAGAGAGAGAGAGAGAGAGAGAGAGAGAGA